rnacentral:rRNA from 1 species
CGUGUCGUGAGAUGUUGGGUUAAGUCCCGCAACGAGCGCAACCCUUGAUCUUAGUUGCCAGCAUUCAGUUGGGCACUCUAAGGUGACUGCCGGUGACAAACCGGAGGAAGGUGGGGAUGACGUCAAAUCAUCAUGCCCCUUAUGACCUGGGCUACACACGUGCUACAAUGGACAGAACAAAGGACAGCGAAACCGCGAGGUUAAGCCAAUCCCACAAAUCUGUUCUCAGUUCGGAUCGCAGUCUGCAACUCGACUGCGUGAAGCUGGAAUCGCUAGUAAUCGCGGAUCAGCAUGCCGCGGUGAAUACGUUCCCGGGCCUUGUACACACCGCCCGUCACACCACGAGAGUUUGUAACACCCGAAGUCGGUGAGGUAACCUUCUAGGAGCCAGCCGCCGAAGGUGGGACAGAUGAUUGGGGU